UCGCCCCCACCUUAAGGUCGAGGACUGAUGGUUCAUCAGCCCAAGUGUAACACCCCGAAUCAAGACUGUGGUAGCUAAGAAAUUUACAUAUACAUGAGCAUUUAUAUUGGUAUAUGGCACAGCAUGUCAUUCAUAAUUCACUUGAGCAUUUAUUUGUUAAUUAGUUAGUAGUAACAAAGCCUAAAUCUAGUUAUUAAUUAAAAAAGAAAUGAUCGAAGAAUGGUUGAGGAAUGAUUG
rnacentral:lncRNA from 1 species